rnacentral:rRNA from 1 species
GAUGAACGCUGGCGGCGUGCCUAACACAUGCAAGUCGAGCGAUUCUCUUCGGAGAAGAGCGGCGGGACGGGUGAGUAACGCGUGGGUAACCUGCCCUGUACACACGGAUAACAUACCGAAAGGUAUGCUAAUACGAGAUAAUAUACUUUUAUCGCAUGGUAGAAGUAUCAAAGCUCCGGCGGUACAGGGAUGGACCCGCGUCUGAUUAGCUAGUUGGUAAGUAACGGCUUACCAAGGCGACGAUCAGUAGCCGACCUGAGAGGGUGAUCGGCCACAUUGGAACUGAGACACGGUCCAAACU